UACAGAGGUGGCAAGCGUUGUUCGGAAUUACUGGGCGUAAAGGGCGCGUAGGCGGCCUUCUAAGUCAGACGUGAAAUCCCCAGGCUUAACUUGGGAACUGCGUCUGAUACUGGGAGGCUUGAGUGCGGGAGAGGGACGUGGAAUUCCAGGUGUAGCGGUGAAAUGCGCAGAUAUCAGGAGGAACACCGAUGGCGAAGGCAGUUCUCUGGGCCGUAACUGACGCUGAGGAGCGAAAGCGUGGGGAGCGAACAGG
rnacentral:rRNA from 1 species